rnacentral:lncRNA from 13 species
CUCAAGAGAAGGAACACUUCAGUGACAUCACUGAUGGCAAAGGUUAGCCUAAAAGUAAAAUGAAAUCAUCUGGCCAGGCAGGCCCCGCGGGAGAAUCAAGCCUUGUAAUUAGAUUGAAGGCUCCUAGGAAACGAAGCCCUGUUGCAGGAAGAGCAUUUGCAGAAGCUAAUUUGGGUUCUUCUUUUAAACUCAGAGCUUCCCUGGACCUCAACCAGCGCCAUUUGGGCAAAAAUUCAAUAAGCUGUGUGAGGGUCAUUAUUGAACAAACAUAUUAUCAGAUUUAGAUGGUUUGAUGUUAUUCUGAAGUUAUUCUGAAGACCAAUGAAAUAUCACGACGGUCAUGAAUAUACAAAAUUGUAUUCUUAUAUGAAUGAUACAGCUUAGUUUCUCAUAUCUGUUUUUCACUUUCCAGUACAUAUUUUUUGCAUUAAUAUUAAAAACCUGCCACACGGACAAACCACGCCACUGUUUCCUUUUCAUCAUAUGCAGUUAUUUGAAGAGAUUGGCAUUAAUCUGCGAAUUCUCCAUCAGGCUCAUUAGAAAAUAGCUGCGAAGAAGGAAUUAUCAAGUAGUUACCUUGGUCUCUGUGGUAGGAGUGGGGCUCCUUAUGGGGAAGAUGGGAGAGAAAUAUUUAGGAAGAAGAACCGAGAAUUGUCUUUUCUUCCUGAUUCUUACCUACAUUCAGAUAACUUAUUACGGAUGCUAUUUUAAUCUUCUGAAAUAUCUAAUCACUUUUUCAAGGACUAGGUUUAAUUGGGGAGGAUUUUCCCUUCUACAGGCUUGCUUCAAUUCUAGACUCAUUAAGAUGCUGAAAUAUCUAUUCUGGUAGUUCUUUCCUUACUGGUUUCAGGUUGAAUUCUGUCUAAAGUUUUACAGGUUCAGAUAUUGAAUCUAGUUAAGAGGCAGACAUGUUCCAUGAUCUCCACCUAGAGCAGUCAUUCAAAAACCCCAGAGUAGAGCUAAACUCCCUGUGGAUGUGAAGUAUAAUGCACACACGAAACUCCAGUGUAGCUGAGAAAUGAUUAUUAAGAUAAAACCAUGCCCUUGUGUACAAAACCCCACACAUAUAAAA